rnacentral:lncRNA from 1 species
CUGACGACAGGUGUGAUGGGUGACCCUACACCUGCCUGCGGCGGCGAACCGCUGCCGGGAGUUAGCCGGCAUCACCUGACCCUCCGCGGGAUUACCGAGAGGUGGUGCGGCGGCGUCUCCCUCACGUGACCGGGCUCGGCGGCGUCGGCCGCGUCACGCUCCGCGCAAAGCUCUGGGUCAGUCAAGGUCUGCGCCUGCGCCGGCUGGCAGGCCCACGAACCUGCCGGCGGGCCGCUACCAGGCGUGGAAGCCGGGCGCCCGCGGCGAUGGCUAUACACAUCUGGUUUUAAUCCCUACCUGCAAGCAGUGAACAGAAGCCCUUAAAGAAACUCUGUAGUGCCCUUGUUUUGAAAGAAUUCCAUGAAAUCAAAAGGUGUCAGGACUGGUUGGGCCCGCUAGUGGUUCCAGAGCACAGGGAAAUCCAGUUAUCACAGUUGACUCUGGAAAGUGAACCUAACAGACCAGUAACAAUGGAAGAAAUUGAGAAGGUCUUUGUAAAGCUACCAUCCCCCAAAACACCGGGCCCAGGUGGUGUUUCAGGUUAAAAAAGUCCUUUGUGAC